GGGGCAGAAGGCUCUAGACCGACUGACUCUCAGCCUUAAUUCUUCUAAAUCAACUUUAAUCUGCCCCAAAUCCCCUCACAGCGCCACCAGGACUGUGCCAAGGCCAUGGGGGUCUUACACAGCAUGGAGACUUUGGGAGCUCCUCCUGUCAUCGGUUACUGGUCUUCCUGUUUACCAUUUGGACACCCACCCACUGAAGGAAUCUGAGAAGACACGGACCCUGCGGGUCAGUGGCUCUGAGCUUUCAGAGUAACAUUCCUGGUGCAGGAAUGUCUGGCAAGACUGGAAGCCCUGGGGUCUCAGGUCCAGGGGGCCCAGGGGCACCUGGCCUGACCUUUUGUUCACAGGCUUCCCUGAGAGCUCCCUCCAACCUGGGAGGGAAAAAGAAAUCUCUCUUCUAGACUGGGAGAAAAAAAAAAGGCUCUCUUCCACGCUCCUCUCAAAGGCACCCCCUGCAGGCCAUGAACACGGUCUCUCUGGGAGCUUGGGCUUUUAUUAAAGACACAGCAAGCCUGCCUUGCAGAAAUCCCUCAGGCAAGGCCUUGCCAAGGGCUGGCGACCUCCUGGUAAUGUGAGAAGACACUGGGAGAACACAUACUCCUUUCUCAAUUAACUAUCCUUCCAUGUCUCCGAGGAAAUCUGACUCCUGGACCAAGCUUGCCUUCUAAACAGGGUGAGAGCCUAGAGGCCAAGGGACAGGGCUGCGAGGGGAAAGACUCGGCCCAGCCAGUGAGUCGGGGGCAGGCUGGGAGGAGCAUGGUGGUGAGCCCAGCAGGGAAAGAAGGCCUCUGGUCCUGAAGGGCCAGAAGAAGUCACCGUCGGCCACCCUCACAGCCCAGGGUUGGGGCUUCUGGAGUGACUGAUAUCAACCUACAUAUGAGUCUGGCCCUGAUGCCAAGGGCUGAGAUUCAACAAGGCAACCGGGGCCAGAUGCAGCGGUGCUGGACCCUGUAGGAGCGAGCGGUAACUCUCACGACAAAUCCACCACAGCAGGUACUGUGGUCCUGCUUUACAGAGUUUUCCAGACCAGGACAUCAGGCUGGAGAGGGCCCCCGGCUUGGCCCCAGGCCUCACUGAACCCAGGACUGUCUACCAUGUUCCAUUGCACCAAGCAGAGAAGAGUGAGUGGGCUGGCUGGAGCCAGGUCUUGUUUUUCUGGAACCCAACCCAAGAGACCUUUGUGUGAGAACUGGUAAGCGUGCCCUGCCCUCUCCCAGGGCCCUGAUGGGGCGGGAGUGCCAGGCAGGAAAGGCAGG
rnacentral:lncRNA from 1 species